rnacentral:tRNA from 1 species
GGGCCCGUGGUCCAGUGGUUAAGACAUCACCCUCACACGGUGGUUACCGGGGUUCGAAUCCCCGCGGGCCCACCA